GAUGAACGCUGGCAGCGUGCCUAAUACAUGCAAGUCGAGCGAACGGACGAGGAGCUUGCUUUUCUGAUGUUAGCGGCGGACGGGUGAGUAACACGUGGAUAACCUACCUAUAAGACUGGGAUAACUUCGGGAAACCGGAGCUAAUACCGAAUAAUAUUUUGAACCGCAUGGUUCGAAAGUGAAAGACGGUCUUGCUGUCACUUAUAGAUGGAUCCGCGCUGCAUUAGCUAGUUGGUAAGGUAACGGCUUACCAAGGCAACGAUGCAUAGCCGACCUGAGAGGGUGAUCGGCCACACUGGAACUGAGACACGGUCCAGACUCCUACGGGAGGCAGCAGUAGGGAAUCUUCCGCAAUGGGCGAAAGCCUGACGGAGCAACGCCGCGUGAGUGAUGAAGGUCUUCGGAUCGUAAAACUCUGUUAUUAGGGAAGAACAUAUGUGUAAGUAACUGUGCACAUCUUGACGGUACCGAAGCAGAAAGCCACGGCUAACUACGU
rnacentral:rRNA from 1 species